rnacentral:snoRNA from 10 species
CUUAAGGAUGAUGAUGAUAUGAUUCACCAUCUCCUUGCCUGGUUUGUAUCAGUAAAAAACAUCAAGUACACAUUCUCGAUAUUUUUA